GAAAUGGAUCAAUUCCGUUGCGUUUCAGAAGCGAAUCGCAGAUGCUAAUGCGUUGCGUCAAAUGAAUUUCCUUAAGCUGAUGAGGGAGCCAUAAAUCGAGUUUCUUGACAUAGCCAAGCUGUUUUAAUUUUUUUUUUUAAUGCAUGUACGCGAUACAUUGAGCUUCUCUGCAACCUCACUCGUUGUGCUAUGACGAUCUGAAUCGAUAAUGGCCUUGAUACGGGUCUCAUCGACUUCGACUGGACGGCCAGAUCGUUGAUCAUUUUUCAGUGAAAAAUCAGCAGAACGAAAUUUGGCAAACCAAUUUUCACACUGCCUCUCUUUCAAGGCUUCAUUCCCAUAUACUGCACAUGACUUCUUGCGUGCUUGCGAUGCGUUCUUAUCUUUUUGAAAAUAAUACAAUAAAAUGUGUCUGAAAUGCGCGUCUUGUUCCUCCAAUUUCAAAUUGGGAUAAAAAUGAAACUAAGUAACUAAUCCAUAGAAUUUCUUUACUAAAUUAAAGAUGGAGGUCCAAACAAGAAGACAAUAUAGGUUAGGUGCUUUGAACACGUUGCAAAACAAAAGAAUGUGCUAAGCAUAAUGAACAGCAUAUGGACUCAAAAAGCAUACUUAAAAGAACAGACAAUAGAUCUUUUGUCUUUCCCUGGCAAGUCUGCUAGCAUUUAAACGAUUACAAAGAAAAUGACUUUAAUAAAUAAAUAUAACUGUAGCCUCGUUGAUAGCAAACUGUUUCUGCAUAGACUCGAAAGAAAAAAAUACCCAAGAACUCGUGUUUCAUUUUAAGAAACAUUUGAAAAUUAUUGAAUAACUGGAAAAGGGAAACUAGCUCUAGCCUGAGUCACGAACAGCAUAUGAAAUUUCCAAAAAAGAUGAAAAAAUACCAAGUCGUGUCCUUUCAUGAAGUUUCCAACAUUCUUACGAUCAUCUGCCCACUAAAUCACGCACGGUAUAGGUUGCAAUGCAAAAUACAAAAGAGCUGGCGUCUCCUACCACGUAGAUGUAUUCAAAUAUUCUCAACGAAUCUUCUGUGAUUUACGUCAGGGACCAUAGAUCCGGCAGAUAGGUUGUUACGUAGGCAAAACGGCGACGAAAAUUAUUUUCGAAGCUGUUCCAUAUACGAGCGAGUCAGUGAUUUAGCCUUCUGAUACGUCGAUCGCGUGACCUUCUUCUUGGUCGGUGUCGGAUUCCCCUUAAAAAUGGAAGCAACGAAAACGCAUUUUCCACAGGGACGGGAGAGCGCGCACGUCUUGUCGAGGAUGGCGCAUCGGAAACGAAGAUACGGUUUCCUUUUAUUUCUGCUCCGCGGUCAUAUGUCACGAUAGAAAUAUCCCUCGUCGAGGAACACGGGCUGAAUCUACACGGUAUACGUGCCGAGUAUCGAGAUCUCUUCCUUUGCACGGCGACGCGGUCUGCGAGUCUCUCUUUUAUUGCGACAGCUUAGGUUUCGUUUAAGAAGAAAUAUGGGCUGCCGUGAAUGGCUGAAACGAAACGAUGUUACGCACACGUCCCUUCGGUAAAUCGUACGUUUAUAUCCGACGAUGCGUUGCACAGUCACCGCUGAACAUUUUAAAACCGCGGUUAAUUAUAUUAACACAUUACGUACGGCGCUCUGCUCUCCAGAAGCAUUUUAGUAAACAAUAGAAUGCGUAUAUGCACAUUUUUAAUUUGCAUUUGGUAUUAUAUUUUUUAUUCAGUCCUCUUCUAUGUUUAGUCGCAUCGCUUAAUUCAAGAACGUUGCUGCUAUCAUUGAAUUCAUUUUCGUCGUAAGUGUUAUUUGGUGCAUCAGAUAAAUUAUUAAACAAUAGUUCACAGUUGACUUUCAUUUUCUUUACAUUUAUGUGUCAUUUUGCUACUUUUAUAGAGUUAGGGCCAGUUUCAUAAAAUAAUUUUUGUUAUAAAUCGUCAGUAACAGAGUGAAAAUGUAAAUGACUUUUGAAAAGCUGUUUCCUUACAAAUUAAAAGACAAACUUUGAAAUAACAAAAUGUAUAACAAUAAAACACAUGAUAAGGUACGAUAUACGAUCGGCACAGAUCUACCGAUGUACUGGCUGUACUGGCUCAUUGUUUUUACAUGCUUGAAAUGUCAACAUUCAGUUGUUUUGCUAAUUAUUAGUCAGAAAAAUGCGCAAGGCUUCAUUACCCUGUUAACGUAACAAAAACAUUUGUCUCUGGUUACUUAAGUCUUCGACUCAGUCGAAAAAACAUGAAAACGAGACAUCUCGUGACCCGCACGCAAUGUGUUAAUAUGUAUUGAGAUAUGUGUAAUUUUAGUAGCGACACACAUAUAUCAGUACGAGUGUGUGACAGUAUGUGCGUGCGCAACGUCUCGUAAACAGACAAAUGCGACUGUUCCGUUGGUAGUGUGGUAAAGAAAAUGGCGAAACAAAGAAAGUGCUGAGACGCAUGCAAAUGUGUAUCCACGAAUAUCUUGUAAAUCACAUAUUAAAUAAAUUUGAAACUAUUUGGACAUUAAUUCUAAGUGUAACGUAAAUGUUGCUAUACAUUUAUUUUGGCGAUUAAGAUUCACAAUUCUCAACAAUAUGUAAUAUGUGUGACCAAAUAUGCUGUAUGCAGAGUGAUUUCUUAACUCUUUGAGCGCUAUGAACGAAUAUAUGCGUUCUCACAUAACCACUCAAUUUAGGCUAAAAGUGGCGUUAAAAUGGCGUGAUAAAAAAGGUGUACGGAUGUUAUCCACCUGACAUUCUGAUGAUUUCGUUGAAACAAAAAAAAAUUAAUUAUCAAACUGGCAAAUCAAAACGAAAACCAAAUGAAAAUUCAGUCUGCUCAACUUGCGCUUUUUUCGUAAAAAAUACGCAGCCCACGGUGUGCUUCUCUGUAAAGAGUGGGCAGUCCAUGGCCCACGCUUAACGUCGGACAACGCAGCGCUGAAAAGGCUAAAAAUUUGGGCUACAGUAAAUAUUAUAUUUUUUCUUUCUUUCGUUCUAGUAGUUUUAAUAUCUUCGUGAAGAUUAUUUUGCGUUACACUGCACAAUGUAUCAGAGAUUAGAUUGCAAAUCGCAAAUAUAUUCUAUUGGUAUUUUAUAUACCAACGAUCUUUUGUAAGCUAAAGCUAUCGGAACAAAUGAAUAAACAACAAAAGUUCAUUGAUUCUUUCACCCCCUUUCGCCAUUUAUUAUUUCCAUGUGAAACUAGUCGAAAGAUUUAUACAACCCGACGACACAUUCGUUCUAUUCUGACAUUUACUGAUAUUUCAUGUACUAAUAAUGUUUUGUACGCCAAAGGUAGACGAACAAAUGAAUAAAAAAGAAAAAUCAAUCAGUCGUCGGCCUUUCAUCCCUCUGGUCGUUUAUUCAAAAAUGAAA